rnacentral:rRNA from 1 species
CCCUUAGAUGUUCUGGGCUGCACGCGCGCUACACUGAUGCGCUCAACGAGUUUACGAACUUGGCCGACAGGCCCGGGCAAUCUUUGAACGCUGGUCGUGAUGGGGAUAGACUUUUGCAAUUUUUGGUCUUCAACGAGGAAUUCCUAGUAAACGCAAGUCAUCAACUUGCAUUGAUUACGUCCCUGCCCUUUGUACACACCGCCCGUCGCACCUACCGAUUGAAUGGUCCGGUGAAGCCUCCGGAUUGGCGCGCACCUCGGUGCCGCCGAGAAGUUGGCUAAACCUUACCAUUUAGAGGAAGGUGAAGUCGUAACA